rnacentral:rRNA from 1 species
GAGAGGUAGCUUGCUACUGAUCUAGCGGCGGACGGGUGAGUAAUGCUUAGGAAUCUGCCUAUUAGUGGGGGACAACAUUUCGAAAGGAAUGCUAAUACCGCAUACGUCCUACGGGAGAAAGCAGGGGAUCUUCGGACCUUGCGCUAAUAGAUGAGCCUAAGUCGGAUUAGCUAGUUGGUGGGGUAAAGGCCUACCAAGGCGACGAUCUGUAGCGGGUCUGAGAGGAUGAUCCGCCACACUGGGACUGAGACACGGCCCAGACUCCUACGGGAGGCAGCAGUGGGGAAUAUUGGACAAUGGGCGCAAGCCUGAUCCAGCCAUGCCGCGUGUGUGAAGAAGGCCUUAUGGUUGUAAAGCACUUUAAGCGAGGAGGAGGCUACUUUAGAUAAUACCUAGAGAUAGUGGACGUUACUCGCAGAAUAAGCACCGGCUAACUCUGUGCCAGCAGCCGCGGUAAUACAGAGGGUGCAAGCGUUAAUCGGAUUUACUGGGCGUAAAGCGCGCGUAGGCGGCUAAUUAAGUCAAAUGUGAAAUCCCCGAGCUUAACUUGGGAAUUGCAUUCGAUACUGGUUAGCUAGAGUGUGGGAGAGGAUGGUGGAAUUCCAGGUGUAGCGGUGAAAUGCGUAGAGAUCUGGAGGAAUACCGAUGGCGAAGGCAGCCAUCUGGCCUAACACUGACGCUGAGGUGCGAAAGCAUGGGGAGCAAACAGGAUUAGAUACCCUGGUAGUCCAUGCCGUAAACGAUGUCUACUAGCCGUUGGGGCCUUUGAGGCUUUAGUGGCGCAGCUAACGCGAUAAGUAGACCGCC